rnacentral:lncRNA from 7 species
CCUAAAUCUCUGAAUGUUUAUUUUGCAUAGUCCUUCAGUGCUGAUUCCUUCUGCAUUACACAUUCACAAAUGUGACUCCUUGAUGCUGAAUCCCAGCUUGUAUCUACAGGGCAAGGUGUCUGCACGUAGGUAUACCACACUCUCUUGCCUCAGUGGGACAGUUCACAAGGCAAGACUUCAGCCACAUGGGUCUCAGCCCUUUGGCCCAGCCUGGCCAGGACUCCCCUAGUGUACUCCACACCCCUCUGCUGUCAGACUCUGGGUAUUUAAUCCCUAAGUUUCCCUGCUACAACCCAGUCUUUUUUGGGUGCCUUCACCUGGGUGAACUUUUGUGCAUCCUUGCGUCUUCCUCACUGGGAUAAAAAGCUUCUUUUACAUACUUCCCAGUAAGCAUUUCUGCAAAACAACAAUUCUCAUCAGUCCCAGACAUAAACGGUUGCAGUGCUAGGGUAAGUGUUUCUCUCAUUUUUCAUAAAUAACACCUAAUUAUUCAUUCUGCUAAUUCUGAUUCUAUCCGAAUUUUCCAAAUUAAUUCACCCUCUAAAUGUGUAAAAAUAAACUGCAGGAACAAUUCAUAUUGCAUCUAUGGCUGAAGAAACUCUCCUGGGUUCCACUGUUACCCAAAUAGUACCCUCCAGGCUCAUUCCCUGCGGGUUGGCAGUGGAUCAGCACUUGCAGGCUCUCUCAGAGUUUUGGAUCUUAUGCAAAAUCCAUCUUCUCACUGAGUCCUUGCAGUGUCUUCACAUGCUUCCUGUGACGGCCUAAAAGAACAUCCAGAAGGCCUUAUCCAUCACUGGGCUGUCCUGGUUGGGGUGGGUGUGGGAUUGAGAGGUGAUGGUCCCGCUCCUGUGAGAGGUGCUGAUAAGAAACCUCAGUGGUGGUGAGGACUUCUGGUGGGGUCUGAAUGCAGGCACCACGUCAGGGAAAGCAGGUAGUGUUCCUGGCACAUGUGCAUGUGCUGUAAAUAAAAACACCACUUU